rnacentral:rRNA from 1 species
UACGUAGGGGGCUAGCGUUGUCCGGAAUCAUUGGGCGUAAAGCGCGUGUAGGCGGUCCGGUAAGUCCGCUGUGAAAGUCGGGGGCUCAACCCUCGGAUGCCGGUGGAUACUGUCGGGCUUGAGUACGGAAGAGGCGAGUGGAAUUCCUGGUGUAGCGGUGAAAUGCGCAGAUAUCAGGAGGAACACCAAUUGCGAAGGCAGCUCGCUGGAACGGUACUGACGCUGAGGCGCGAAAGCGUGGGGAGCGAACAGG